CAAGUCGAACGCGAAAGCCUCCUUCGGGGGGCAAGUAGAGUGGCGCACGGGUGAGUAACACGUAGGUAAUCUACCUUUGGAUUGGGAAUAACCACCGGAAACGGUGGCUAAUACCGAAUAAUGCAGCGGCACCUAAUGGUGACAGUUGUUAAAGCGGGGGAUCGCAAGACCUCGCGUCUGAAGAGGAGCCUGCGGCAGAUUAGCUAGUUGGUAAGGUAACGGCUUACCAAGGCGAUGAUCUGUAGCCGGCCUGAGAGGGCGGUCGGCCACACUGACACUGACAUACGGGUCAGACUCCUACGGGAGGCAGCAGUCGGGAAUUUUGGGCAAUGGGCGAAAGCCUGACCCAGCAACGCCGCGUGAAGGAUGAAAUCCCUCGGGAUGUAAACUUCGCAAGAACGGGAAGAAUAAGUAAGAGUUAAUAUCUCUUACGAUGACGGUACUGUUUGUAAGCUCCGGCUAACUCCGUGCCAGCAGCCGCGGUAAUACGGGGGGAGCAAGCGUUGUUCGGAUUUACUGGGCGUAAAGGGCGCGUAGGCGGCCACCGCAAGUCAGUUGUGAAAGCUCUGGGCUUAACCCAGAAAGGUCAGCUGAUACUGCGGGGCUAGAGUGCAGAAGGGGCAACUGGAAUUCUCGGUGUAGCGGUGAAAUGCGUAGAUAUCGAGAGGAACACCUGCGGCGAAGGCGGGUUGCUGGGCUGACACUGACGCUGACAGCGCGAAAGCUAGGGGAGCGAACGGGAUUAGAUACCCCGGUAGUCCUAGCCUUAAACGAUGAAUGCUUGGUGUCUGGGGUUUUAUAGUCCCCGGGUGCCGUCGCUAACGCUUUAAGCACUCCGCCUGGGGAGUACGGUCGCAAGACUGAAACUCAAAGGAAUUGACGGGGACCCGCACAA
rnacentral:rRNA from 1 species